rnacentral:rRNA from 1 species
CCCUUAGAUGUUCUGGGCCGCACGCGCGCUACACUGAUGACUUCAACGAGUUUUUUCUAUUUGGAAAUGUCCUUAACCGGAAGGUUUGGGUAAUCUUUUAAAUGGUCAUCGUGAUGGGGCUAGAUUCUUGCAAUUAUUAAUCUCCAACGAGGAAUUCCUAGUAAACGCAAGUCAUCAACUUGCAUUGAUUACGUCCCUGCCCUUUGUACACACCGCCCGUCGCACCUACCGAUUGAAUGUUCCGGUGAGCUCUUCGGACUGCGCGGUCUGCAGUUUCUGCGUUCCGUGCGGAAAGUUGCGCAAACCUUAACAUUUAGAGGAAGGAGAAGUCGUAACA